rnacentral:rRNA from 1 species
AUUGAACGCUGGCGGCAGGCCUAACACAUGCAAGUCGAACGAGUGGCGGACGGGUGAGUAAUGACUGGGAAACUGCCUGAUGGAGGGGCAUAACUACUGGAAACGGUAGCUAAUACCGCAUACCAUCGGAUGUGCCCAUAUGGGAUUAGCUAGUAGGUGGGGUAAAGGCUCACCUAGGCGACGAUCCCUAGCUGGUCUGAGAGGAGGACCAGCCAAACUGUAACUGAGACACGGUCCAGACUCCUACGGGAGGCAGCAUUGGGGAAUAUUGCACGAUGGGCGCAGGCCUGAUGCAGCCAGGCCGCGUGUAUGAAGACGGCCUUCGGGUUGUAAAGUACUUUCAGCGGGGAGGCGUUACCCGCAGAAGAAGCACCGGCUAACUCCGUGCCAGCAGCCGCGGUAAUAC